rnacentral:rRNA from 1 species
ACCUAGCAAUAGGUUGGUGGCGACCGGCGCACGGGUGAGUAACACGUAUCCAACCUACCGGUUAUUCCGGGAUAGCCUUUCGAAAGAAAGAUUAAUACCGGAUAGUAUAACGAGAAGGCAUCUUCUUGUUAUUAAAGAAUUUCGAUAACCGAUGGGGAUGCGUUCCAUUAGUUUGUUGGCGGGGUAACGGCCCACCAAGACAUCGAUGGAUAGGGGUUCUGAGAGGAAGGUCCCCCACAUUGGAACUGAGACACGGUCCAA